AUACGUAGGUGGCGAGCGUUGUUCGGAUUUAUUGGGCGUAAAGGGUCCGCAGGGGGUUUGUUAAGUCUGAUGUGAAAUCCCGGAGCUCAACUCCGGAACUGCAUUGGAAACUGGCGGACUAGAGUAUCGGAGAGGUAAGCGGAAUUUCUGGUGUAGCGGUGGAAUGCGUAGAUAUCAGAAAGAACACCGAGAGCGAAGGCAGCUUACUGGACGAUUACUGACCCUCAGGGACGAAAGCGUGGGUAGCAAACAGGAUUAGAUACCCUGGUAGUCCACGCCGUAAACGUUGUGAACUUGAUGUGGGGGGAUUUACCCCCUUCCGUAUCGAAGCUAACGCGAUAAGUUCACCGCCUGGGGGCUACGGCCGCAAGGCUAAA
rnacentral:rRNA from 1 species